rnacentral:rRNA from 1 species
AGAGUUUGAUCCUGGCUCAGGAUGAACGCUGGCGGCAUGCCUAAUACAUGCAAGUCGAACGGACCGAAGGGAAAGCUUGCUUUCCCUGAAGUCAGUGGCGAACGGGUGAGUAACACGUAGGUAACCUGCCCAUGUGCCCGGGACAACGCCUGGAAACGGGUGCUAAAACCGGAUAGGUAGAGAGAUCGCAUGAACUUUCUAUUAAAGGGGCUGCGGCCCUGAACAUGGAUGGACCUGCGGUGCAUUAGCUAGUUGGUGAGGUAACGGCCCACCAAGGCGACGAUGCAUAGCCGACCUGAGAGGGCGAACGGCCACAUUGGGACUGAGACACGGCCCAAACUCCUACGGGAGGCAGCAGUAGGGAAUUUUCGUCAAUGGGGGGAACCCUGAACGAGCAAUGCCGCGUGAGUGAAGACGGUCUUCGGAUUGUAAAGCUCUGUUGCGAGAGAAAAACGACACGGAUAGGGAAUGAUCCGUGGGUGAUGGUAUCUCGCCAGAAAGUCACGGCUAACUACGUGCCAGCAGCCGCGGUAAUACGUAGGUGGCGAGCGUUAUCCGGAAUGAUUGGGCGUAAAGGGUGCGUAGGCGGCCCGUUAAGUCUGGAGUCAAAGCCGGCAGCUCAACUGUCGUACGCUUUGGAAACUGGCGGGCUGGAGUGCAGAAGAGGGCGAUGGAACUCCAUGUGUAGCGGUG